rnacentral:tRNA from 1 species
AAGAAAGAACACAAGAACUGCUAAUUCAUGUCCCCAUGCCUAAACACAUGGCUUUCUUA